rnacentral:tRNA from 1 species
GAGGGUAUAGCUCAGUGGUAGAGCAUGUGUUUAGCAUGCACGAGGUCCUGGGUUCAACCCCCAGUACCUCCA